CUAAAUAAACGCGACAUUUUUAAGCGCUUCUUUUUUACUAUUUAAAAUCGUGAAAAAGGCUUCACGAUUUACCAUACCGUUUCUAAAGAUAAAUUUUAUGUGAAGGCCCAUGAAGAGACGUACGAUUUAGGAUGAGGUAGCUGCUAAGGAGACGGCAAGCAUAAUCGGGUGAAGAACAGUGGGCAACAGUUAUUUUGGCGGACGGACGGUCGACAACAGGAAAGGGAAGAAUUCCAAGAAGCAGGAAAAAAGCCAAUUCGUCAAUUACAGCAAAAUGGACUUAUUGAAGUAUCAAUGGUGGAUGAAGUAUCGAAAGGUACUUGGGAAGCGCAAGCGCUCUUCCGGAGCGCGGUUGAAUUUGGUUGAAGAACGGUUCCAUUCCAUCCGAUGGCAGGUGUAAGGGUGUUGUUCGUGUUUUCUUAAUCCCCAACAAGCAAGACAUCAUUUUAAAUACUGCGGACUCGAAGUUUCUUCUUUGGACAGAAUGCAACUCAGUCGGACGGACGGUCGACAACAGGAAAGGGAAGAAUUCCAAGAAGCAGGAAAAAAGCCAAUUCGUCAAUUACAGCAAAAUGAACUUAUUGAAGUAUCAAUGGUGGAUGAAGUAUCGAAAGGUACUUGGGAAGCGCAAGCGCUCUUCCGGAGCGCGGUUGAAUUUGGUUGAAGAACGGUUCCAUUCCAUCCGAUUGCGGGUAUAAGGGUGUUGUUCGUGUUUUCUUAAUCCCCAACAAGCAAGACAUCAUUUUAAAUACUGCGGACUCGAAGUUUCUUCUUUGGUCAGAAUGUAUGUAACUCAGUAGGUACUCCAAACCGAGUCACCCAAUUCAGUAAAAUUCAGUGAUUUCCGUCUCCGUUUUCCUGGAAAGGAUGCUUGUGCGUUGCAUAAUCCGAAAAGCAUCACAGAAAGCUGCCACAACCCAUCUUCUAUGCUGAAGGCUGUCUCCACGGGCUCAUUUUUCACGAUUUUAAAUAUUAAAAAAGAAGCGCUUAAAAAUUUCAUGUUUAUUUAGUGGGCUCUGACAAUAGAAUGAUCUUAUAACUAAACUAAAUAUAUGCAUAAGCCAAGACGCUUAUGAUGACAAUGUGAA